rnacentral:rRNA from 1 species
CGCUAAUACCGCAUACGAUCCACGGAUGAAAGCAGGGGACCUUCGGGCCUUGUGCUAUACGAGCGGCCGAUGUCUGAUUAGCUAGUUGGUGGGGUAAAGGCCCACCAAGGCAACGAUCAGUAGCGGGUCUGAGAGGAUGAUCCGCCACACUGGGACUGAGACACGGCCCAGACUCCUACGGGAGGCAGCAGUGGGGAAUUUUGGACAAUGGGCGCAAGCCUGAUCCAGCCAUGCCGCGUGUCUGAAGAAGGCCUUCGGGUUGUAAAGGACUUUUGUCAGGGAGCAAAACCCAGCAGCUAAUAUCUGUUGGGGAUGAGAGUACCUGAAGAAUAAGCACCGGCUAACUACGUG